rnacentral:lncRNA from 1 species
GACUUACUAGAAAUCAGAAAUUGGAAGCGAAUUUGAAGAAUUUGGUAACCAAAUUUGAUGAAAUGACGGUCAAACAAACAUCAUUGCAAGGUGAUGUAAUAGGAAUCAAAGGAAAUGUUGAUGAAAUCAAAAUGUCAAUGAAGGACAUGAAGAAACGGUUUGAUAUCAUUUCACUUGGUAUUGAAUCCAUUUUGGGAAUUCAAGAGAAAGAUAUUGGUAAAGGUGUUGCAGCUGAAGUUUCAAAUCAAUCAGAUCCACCUUCUUCGUCAAAUAAUAUAUCUGUUGCUACCCAAAGAAUACUUGGGCAUUCUCCUGCUAAUCUAGUUCGUGUAAACGAAGGUAAUGAUGAUUCUUCAGUUAGAUUUCAUGGUAGUAAUCCAAAUUUAAUUGGAUCUACAACUAGAUUAGUUGAGAAUAGUUGACGUAGCGGAAGCGAUUAAAAAUCAAACCUUGAAUAACCC